rnacentral:rRNA from 1 species
AGUCGAGGGGUAUAGUAGCAAUACUAGAGACCGGCGCACGGGUGCCUAACGCGUAUGCCAUCUACCUUUUACAGAGGGAUAGCCCAGAGAAAUUUGGAUUAAUACCUCAUAGUAUAGCGACCUGGCAUCAGGAUGUUAUUAAAGUCACAACGGUAAAAGAUGAGCAUGCGUCCCAUUAGCUAGUUGGUAAGGUAACGGCUUACCAAGGCGACGAUGGGUAGGGGUCCUGAGAGGGAGAUCCCCCACACUGGUACUGAGACACGGACCAGACUCCUACGGGAGGCAGCAGUGAGGAAUAUUGGACAAUGGGCGCAAGCCUGAUCCAGCCAUGCCGCGUGCAGGAUGACGGUCCUAUGGAUUGUAAACUGCUUUUGUACAGGAAGAAACCCUUUCACGUGUGAAAGAUUGACGGUACUGUAAGAAUAAGGAUCGGCUAACUCCGUGCCAGCAGCCGCGGUAAUACGGAGGAUCCAAGCGUUAUCCGGAAUCAUUGGGUUUAAAGGGUCCGUAGGCGGCCAGAUAAGUCAGUGGUGAAAGCCCAUCGCUCAACGGUGGAACGGCCAUUGAUACUGUCUGGCUUGAAUUACAAGGAAGUAACUAGAAUAUGUAGUGUAGCGGUGAAAUGCUUAGAGAUUACAUGGAAUACCAAUUGCGAAGGCAGGUUACUACUUGUGGAUUGACGCUGAUGGACGAAAGCGUGGGUAGCGAACAGGAUUAGAUACCCUGGUAGUCCACGCCGUAAACGAUGGAUACUAGCUGUUGGGAGCAAUCUCAGUGGCUAAGCGAAAGUGAUAAGUAUCCCACCUGGGGAGUACGGGCGCCAGCCUGAAACUCAAAGGAAUUGACGGGGGCCCCCCACAGCGGUGGAGCAUGUGGUUUAAUUCGAUGA